rnacentral:rRNA from 1 species
AGAGUUUGAUCCUGGCUCAGGAUGAACGCUAGCGGCAGGCUUAAUACAUGCAAGUCGAACGGGAUUCGGGGUAGCAAUACUUUGAUGAGAGUGGCGCACGGGUGCGUAACGCGUAUGCAACCUACCUUUAACAGGGGAAUAGCCCCGAGAAAUCGGGAUUAAUACUCCGUAACAUUGCGGUGUGGCAUCACACUGCACUUAAAGCUGAGGCGGUUAAAGAUGGGCAUGCGUGACAUUAGCUAGUUGGUGAGGUAACGGCUCACCAAGGCAACGAUGUCUAGGGGUCCUGAGAGGGUUAUCCCCCACACUGGUACUGAGACACGGACCAGACUCCUACGGGAGGCAGCAGUAAGGAAUAUUGGUCAAUGGGCGCAAGCCUGAACCAGCCAUGCCGCGUGCAGGAAGACGGCCCUAUGGGUUGUAAACUGCUUUUGUCAGGGAAUAAACCCCCGCUCGUGAGCGGGGCUGAAGGUACCUGAAGAAUAAGCAUCGGCUAACUCCGUGCCAGCAGCCGCGGUAAUACGGAGGAUGCAAGCGUUAUCCGGAUUCAUUGGGUUUAAAGGGUGCGCAGGCGGAUUGGUAAGUCAGGGGUGAAAUCCCACAGCUCAACUGUGGAACUGCCUUUGAUACUGUCAGUCUAGAGUAUAGUUGAAGUUGGCGGAAUGUGUCAUGUAGCGGUGAAAUGCUUAGAUAUGACACAGAACACCGAUCGCGAAGGCAGCUAGCUAAGCUAUAACUGACGCUCAUGCACGAAAGCGUGGGGGUCAAACAGGAUUAGAUACCCUGGUAGUCCACGCUGUAAACGAUGAUUACUCGAUGUU